GAUGAACGCUGGCGGCGUGCCUAAUACAUGCAAGUCGAGCGAACAGACGAGGAGUUUGCUCCUCUGACGUUAGCGGCGGACGGGUGAGUAACACGUGGAUAACCUACCUAUAAGACUGGGGUAACUUCGGGAAACCGGAGCUAAUACCGGAAAAUAUAUUGAACCGCAUGGUUCAAUAGUGAAAGACGGUUUUGGUGUAACUUAUAGAUGGAUCCGCGCCGCAUUAGCUAGUUGGUAAGGUAACGGCUUACCAAGGCGACGAUGCGUAGCCGACCUGAGAGGGUGAUCGGCCACACGGGAACUGAGACACGGUCCAGACUCCUACGGGAGGCAGCAGUAGGGAAUCUUCCGCAAUGGGCGAAAGCCUGACGGAGCAACGCCGCGUGAGUGAUGAAGGUCUUCGGAUCGUAAAACUCUGUUAUUAGGGAAGAACAAAUGUGUAAGUAACUAUGCACGUCUUGACGGUACCUGAUCAGAAAGCCACGGCUAACUACGUG
rnacentral:rRNA from 1 species